rnacentral:rRNA from 1 species
GAGUGAUGAAGGUUUUCGGAUCGUAAAGCUCUGUUGUUAGGGAAGAACAAGUACCGUUCGAAUAGGGCGGUACCUUGACGGUACCUAACCAGAAAGCCACGGCUAACUACGUGCCAGCAGCCGCGGUAAUACGUAGGUGGCAAGCGUUGUCCGGAAUUAUUGGGCGUAAAGGGCUCGCAGGCGGUUUCUUAAGUCUGAUGUGAAAGCCCCCGGCUCAACCGGGGAGGGUCAUUGGAAACUGGGGAACUUGAGUGCAGAAGAGGAGAGUGGAAUUCCACGUGUAGCGGUGAAAUGCGUAGAGAUGUGGAGGAACACCAGUGGCGAAGGCGACUCUCUGGUCUGUAACUGACGCUGAGGAGCGAAAGCGUGGGGAGCGAACAGGAUUAGAUACCCUGGUAGUCCACGCCGUAAACGAUGAGUGCUAAGUGUUAGGGGGUUUCCGCCCCUUAGUGCUGCAGCUAACGCAUUAAGCACUCCGCCUGGGGAGUACGGUCGCAAGACUGAAACUCAAAGGAAUUGACGGGGGCCCGCACAAGCGGUGGAGCAUGUGGUUUAAUUCGAAGCAACGCGAAGAACCUUACCAGGUCUUGACAUCCUCUGACAAUCCUAGAGAUAGGACGUCCCCUUCGGGGGCAGAGUGACAGGUGGUGCAUGGUUGUCGUCAGCUCGUGUCGUGAGAUGUUGGGUUAAGUCCCGCAACGAGCGCAACCCUUGAUCUUAGUUGCCAGCAUUC